GCGCCCGUAGCUCAGCAGGACAGAGCAGCGGCUUCCUAAGCCGCAGGUCGGAGGUUCGAGUCCUCCCGGGCGUA
rnacentral:tRNA from 1 species